ensembl:snRNA U6 U6 spliceosomal RNA
GUGCUGGCUUCGGCAGCACAUAUACCACAAUUGGAAAGUCACAGAGAAGAUCAACCUGGCCCCUUGCACAAGGAUGACAUACAGAUUCGGGAAGAGUUCCAUAUUUUU